rnacentral:lncRNA from 1 species
CUGGGAGGGGCUCAGAUUCAUCAGGGCCUCAGCAGGACUAUCAACCUCAGAUCAUGCCCUCAUGCACAGUAGUGCCUGUGUGAAGCUGUGUGUGAGCCCUCCCUGUAUCUGGAAUGCAAACCCUAAACCCCAGGGCAAGGCAGCAGGUGAACCUGCACGAGGAAGGUGGGCAGCAAGUGGUCAGGCAGCAGCACAUCCUCACACAGUAUUUCAGAGCACACACAAUCCUCACAGGAAGACCCACAGCUCAGAUGUUCAGUGAAAAGAAGAGUGAGAUGGAAUCUGGUGCCUGAGCAUCACUUGGGCCUCCUGGAAAGGACCCUGAGUGCUUAAAAUAGGCUGUUUAGUCAAGAUAAACCUCUGCUUAUAAGGAGCUCCUUUUUCAUGUAACCUGACUGUUCAUUAAAUGACUCUGACGAUGGCGCUGAUGGCUGAAGUGACCUUCAUCAGUACAAUUCAUGCUCACCAAUUUACCACAUA